rfam:Bacillus thermoamylovorans genome assembly, strain 1A1, contig: A1A_CC65
CCCGUGCUACAACCGCUCGUAUUCGGUUUAAGAUUUUGCAGAUUGUGCAAAACACCGAAUGGCGGCGAGUCUGAGUCUAUAG